AAGACGGCAUGAAUACUGCUGCACAAUUCCCUCUAGGCACACUCAGAAAAUUUUCAGGAUCCUACAUGAAAUCUUUUUUUCUAAAUAGUAAUUUCAUUAAAAUACGUGCUGCAACUGAAGUUGUGAGUGAGAAAAAGUGCAGUGAAGGAACAAGGCAAGAAAAUGGAGUUUUAGAAACUACACAGUAAACGACUGCUGAUAAAUCGCAAUUUAUGAGAGGAUGAUGUGGCAAAAUGAUUUGAAAAUUGGAAGUGAUUUACUGCACAACUUAAAUAUUUUGUCUUAUCAUUACAGCAACUCUAUAAGGCCACAGGACAGCCUCCCAACCCAGCUAAAGAAUCAAGGGCGGAAGGCCAAAAUCAUCUGAAAACAAAUAUGAUACUUCAAAAAUGUCUGAAAAGGACAGGUGUGCUUUUCAAGAAGGCUUUCCCUCAGUGGCUUUACCUUUUGUGUGCGGCCCGGAUGUAGCUGAUAAACCAAGGCUUUCUGACUUUGCAGCUUGAUAGAUAUAAUUUUCAUAGUAUAUGGAAAGAUAAUGCACCCAAUGUAUUGGACAGUUGUCCCUGUGUUAUCAAGCAGUGUGUUCUCUUAUUUCACUAACAAAUGUCCAGACAAACACACAUUGUGGCAAAUGCAAGGAAAUCACUAGCCUGUGUUUGAAACUUAAGCCUCCCCGUUCUUUAGAGUAUAGCAGUAUUCAGGCAAUAGGGAUGCAUGGUACGAGCAUUACCCUUUCUCUCUCUCCAGACUCCAGAACAUGACAAUAGCUGAUAUGUUUCAGUGCAUGAAUAAUUCUGAUUCCAGCUAGACAAUUGUUGUGAAGGAAUUGUCCUUAUAAUAUUUGUCUCAUAAAAAUAUGUAUAUUUUAUUAUAAAACAAGAAUGUUCAAAUGGACAUCCACAUUUUGGCCCCAAAUCCUCCCCUUUUGUGCAUCUUAUGCAAAGUACAUGUCAAUAAGUAUUUAUCAAAUGAAUGUUAAAAGCAUGAAAGAAUGUUUUAUGGGGAUUUUGAUGUCUUUCUAGUGAGAUACUGUUUUUCAUUUAAUCAUAACUCAUUUUUUUUGAGAUGAGAAAAUUUAGACUCAAAGUCAUGAUAAGCCACCAACAUCAUAAAGAGCAGACUCAGGAACUGAACUGUAUUCUCUGCCUGUCCCUUCAUGCAAUUUCUUUCUCCUUUCUACAGAAAAAUCCCCCCUUCCUGCUAUUUCCACCCCUGAAAUAUUUAUAGGCUGAUGUCCUCUUUAGUCAUCACUGAGCUAAGCUGCAAUCUUUUAAUCAUUUCUCAGAAGUCAUUUUCUCUAUCGGCUUAAUCAUUUCAUUUACUUCUGACUCCACCCAAAGUGCUUACGUCCCUUAAACAUGAGGUUCCAGAACUGAAACAUAGUCCUUCAAGGAACCAGAGAGAAGCCAGGCAACAUCAAUCAAGCCCCUUGAUGAUGGAACGUGUCCUCACAUGUGACUCAAUAGACGUUUUGCUGUGGGACUCUAAUUCUGUCUUGCCUUAUAGGCAAGAUGCAAUCUUUAUCAGAGCUCCAGGGGUAAUGCUGUGUCACACAAAAAUGUGCACUGCUUUUGAUAUCAGGCACACCUGGGUUCAAAUCUUGGCUUCCCGAUUUACUACUUACGUAACCUAAGGCAAGUUAUUAAGCGUCUCUAAAUCUUGGUUUCUUUGUCAGAGACAAGUUGGGAGGAAUACUAGCUACAUCAUAGGAGUCUUGUGAGAACUAAAUCACUUAAUAUAUGUAAAUGGCCUGUAUAUACUAUACCUAGCACACAUUACAUACAGCACAUUUACUAACCUCUAAAUCUAGUGUUAAAUCAAUUUCUUUCUCUCUCACCGCACUCCAUUCAAUUUACCAGGAAUUCUGUCCACCUUUCUUUCAGUUUUUCUGAACGUAUCCAUUUCUUCCCAUUGAUAUGAGUCACAAAUAGAUCAGCUGCCACCUGAUCAGACCCACCAUCAUUUCUAACCAGACCAUUGCCAUAGCCUCCUGACUCAUUCCCCUGCUUUCAUCCUUGCCUUUUAUAAUCCUUUCUCUACACUGUAGCGAUGUCAUCUUUCUAAAAGAUUACUUGGACCAGUCCACUUGCCUGCAUAAAACAUGGCAUAGGGUUCCCACUACACUUAAAAACAAAUCCAAAAUUCUUGCCAUGGACUACAGGACCUCAAGUGAUCUUUCCCUGCUUGUAUCUCUGAAGUUAUCCUUCUCCCCUCUUCUAUCACUUACUCUACUUUUAGCCAUAUAUGGCUUUUGGUUUCUUGAGCUCACUAAGCUUAUUCUGGUGCCAGAAACUUUGCCCUUUCCAUUCCCUGAGACUUAGAUGUUCUUCCCCAAGAUCUUUACAUGAUUGGUUCCUUCUCACCAUUUCAGUCUAAGACCAGAGGUCACCUCCUCCAAGAGGUCUCCCUUGGUCACCAAAUCUCACGUUGUCUCUCCCUGAUAACCUAACACUGACACUUUCUAGCACAUUACUUUGUCUUACUUUCUUUAUAUCACUUUAUCACUAUCUGAAAUUACCAUCUUUAUUUAUUUGUUUGUUUAUUUCCAGAAUGUUUUUCUCUCUCAACAGAAUGCCAGCCCUAUGAAAGAAGGAACCUUGUCUACUUUGCAUCUCUCAAUAUUGUUACCUCCUAAAAUUGUGCCUGGCAUGAAGUAGACACUCAAUAAAUAUUUGACAAAUGGAUAAAUUGGUUUGGAAGAACUGGGCUCUAUCAUACUUUUCAUAAGUAUGAAAAGCAUUUGACAAGAUAAUGAAAUCUUAAGGUAUUCUCACAUAAAUUUAAUAUCUCAGCCCUAAAUUUUGCAUAGCCAGGAAAUUCUGUAGCAUUAUAAAAUGGUUCAGAACACAGAGCAUGUUUUAAUCCUAGCUUUGCCACUUCCUUUCUGUGUGACCUUGGAUAAGUCAGCUGACGUAUUAAAACUGGUUUUCUUGUCUAAAAAUAUAAAGAUAAUAACAUACAAUAUUAGAGGGUUUUGUGAGGAUUAAAAGAGCUAAGUCUAUAGCACAGUUCCUGGAACAUUGUGUGCAGUCAAUAAAUGGUGGUUAUUAUUAUUACGGUUAUUGUUCUUACAGUAAUUAAUUCUGGCACCAUAUUUUACAAAGAACUUUGACAAAUUGGAGCCCAUCCAGAGGAGAACAAACAAUCUUGUGAAGGGUCUGGAAACCACAACUUGUAAGGAAUGAUGGAAAGAGCUGAGGAUGUUUACCUUGGAAGAGACACAUUUUAAGAGGAACAUGAUAGCUUUUUUAAAAACACUGAAAAGAACUGUCUGGUGGAAGACAGAUUUGAUUUAUUCAAUGUUACUCUGGAGUAUACAUUUAAAGCCAAAGAGUAAAAGUUAAAUCUUAAAUUCUUUAUGAUCUAAUAACCAAACUUUCCCAAACCAAAAUAGUAUUGAAUUCUACUUAUAAUAGUAAAAACUUUUAAGUCAUGUUUGCAUAAAUUUUUAUUAGGGAAAUUAUAUCGUAUAUGAAGCCACUUGCAAUUACCACUGUAUUCGUCCAUUUUCACACUGCUAAUACAGACAUACCCAAGCCUGGGCAAUUUACAAAGGAAAGAGGUUUAAUGGAGAACUCACAGUUCCACGUGGCUGAGAAAGCCUCACAAUCAUGGCAGAAGGUGAAAGGCAUGUCUCACAUGAUGGCAAGCAAGAGAAGAAGGCUUCUGCAGAAAAACUCCCCUUUUUAAAACCAUCAGAUCUCAUGAGACUUAUUCACUAUCACAAGAAUAGCACAGGAAAGACCUGCUCCCAGGAUUCAAUUACCCCCUACUGGGUUCCUCCCACAAGAUGAGAUUUGGGGUGGGGACAAAGCCAAACCAUAUCAACCAUAUUAAGACUUUGUAUCAAUAUGAAAAGUAUGUGUGGGAUGUCAAUUGCAAAAAAGCAGACUAUGAAAUAUGUGCAUAAGCAGACUAUGAAAUAUAGGCACUCUAUAGAGAGAAACAGAAACAAAGAGAGAGAGAAUAUAAACACAAACACAUGCAAAUAAAAUGUGUUACUUCAAGAGGUGAUGAGUUUCCUGUCCCUCCAAAGGUUAAAGCAGAGACCAGACAACCUCUUAGAAGAAACAGCAUGUGAGAAGUGAUAUUACAGACAAAGCAUUGGGCAGGGUGAACACUGAAACGAUUUCAAAGCUCCUUGGGUCUAUGAUCUGAUGAAUAUUGUUGAAUUGUGGGCACAAAACUGUGCUUUUUAAAAUAGUAAAGAUGACAUUAAGCCUCUCAAAUAUUUUCAUUUCCUCCCAAUUAAAACAGGCAAAAAAAAUCUAGUACCAAGAGACCCAAGUUCUGGGCUCCAUGAUCUACUAGGGCAUUGUGGCAUCAAGACCCACAAAGUGGACAUUUCUGGCCAUUAUUUCUCUUCUGCUCCAGCAAAAGCCUGUCAACCUCUCUGAACCUCAUUUUCUGGAUCCUUUCCCAAAAAGAAGGAAGUUGCAUGCUUUCUAUUUCUAAGAAUCUAUGCUUCAUCUUGAUUAUUUUCUUUCAUAAAUCUGAGCUUGGCCAGAAAUUAGAAGCCACCUGAACUUUGUAAAUAAGGAAUUUCCAAGAACACUAACAAGGGAAUAACUGUAGGAGAAUUUUGGUCCCCAAAUCAGGGAUGGUCCUUUUUCCACAUAAGUUUCAAAAAGUAAUAAAUAAUUCCUAUUAUAAUUAAAUGGGUGAAAAGUUUAGAACUCUAAGAGACAAGCAUCCAAAAGUAGGGUUUUCCUAGAAAGUCUCUUUAUAUUUUAUGUAAGAUGACAUUAAGUCAUCACCUGCAUUGCUUUCUUGGCUUUUGAUGAUAAAGGAGCUCUCCUCUGUUGUUGUUAAACUUCCAGGCAAGUUUUCGGGCUAUCUUCAUCCUAGAAGGGCCAAUAGACAGAAGAUUGCCAUUUUCAAGCAUUGAACACACAAUUGGAUCCUUCCUUGACGUCAACUUACCUCCCAUUUUAUAUCUCGGAUGAUUUCCAGUGGUGACAAAAACAUGUAUAUUUCCUUUCCCACUUAGGGAACUAUGAGGUGUGCUUUGACUAGCCAAUAGAGAUAUUACAAAAUAGCAAACCCAUAAAACUUCUAGAGACUUCACGAAUCCUGUAAGAACAGCCUCAUUCUCUUCGAAUCCUUGGUUAUAAUUCACAUAGAUUAUCUUGUGGGAAUAGAACAAAGUAAGCCUUGCUGUGCCAUGCUCUUCUUGUGAAGAGUUCUCUGACUCCUAUAUUUCAGAUGAAGGAAUCAUUGUAACAUGACAAUGGUCAGGGAGUGCCCUGCUCCCAUGCCCAGAAUUGACCUACCAUCCUCAAACCAAUAAGCUCAAGCCCAGAUGAUUACCACCUACAUGGAAGGUAACUUUUUUUUCAGAAAAUAGAAAUUUGUUAAUAUUUUUAUAAUUGAGAUGAAAUUCACAUAACAAAAAUCAACCAUUAUAAACUGAACAAUUCAGACCGAUUUAUUACAUUCACGUGUUGUAUAAUCAUGACCUCUAUAUAGUUGCAAAACAUCUUCGUUACCUCGAAAUACAACCCUGGACCCAUUGUGCAGUUCCUCCAUUCUCCCCUCUCUCCAGUCCCUGGCAAAUGUUUGUUUUCAGUCUCUAUAGAUGUACCUAUUCUGGAUAUUUUAUAUAAAUAAAAUCAUGUAACAU
rnacentral:lncRNA from 10 species